CCUACGGGGGGCUGCAGUGGGGAAUAUUGGACAAUGGGGGCAACCCUGAUCCAGCCAUGCCGCGUGUGUGAAGAAGGACCUCGGGUUGUAAAGCACUUUCAGUGAGGAAGAACGCCUGGUGGUUAAUACCCAUCAGGAAAGACAUCACUCACAGAAGAAGCACCGGCUAACUCCGUGCCAGCAGCCGCGGUAAUACGGAGGGUGCGAGCGUUAAUCGGAAUUACUGGGCGUAAAGCGCGCGUAGGUGGCUUGAUAAGCCGGUUGUGAAAGCCCCGGGCUCAACCUGGGAACGGCAUCCGGAACUGUCAAGCUAGAGUGCAGGAGAGGAAGGUAGAAUUCCCGGUGUAGCGGUGAAAUGCGUAGAGAUCGGGAGGAAUACCAGUGGCGAAGGCGGCCUUCUGGACUGACACUGACACUGAGGUGCGAAAGCGUGGGUAGCAAACAGGAUUAGAUACCCCAGUAGUC
rnacentral:rRNA from 1 species